rnacentral:rRNA from 1 species
UACAGAGGUCUCAAGCGUUGUUCGGAUUCAUUGGGCGUAAGGGUGCGUAGCGGCGCGGUAAGUCGGUGUGAAAUCUUGGAGCUUAACUCCGAAACUGCAUUCGAUACUGCCGUGCUUGAGGACUGAGAGGAGACUGGAAUUUACGGUGUAGCGUGAAAUGCGUAGAUAUCGUAAGGAGACCAGUGCGAAGGCGGGUCUCUGGACAGU